rnacentral:pre_miRNA from 1 species
AGGCCUGCAGAGAGAGAGGCAGGGUCUGAUCCUCAGCUUCCAUGGCAGCUGUUGAUCAGCUGUUGCCUCUCUCUUUCUCUCCUGGC